rnacentral:rRNA from 1 species
GUGGGGAAUAUUGGUCAAUGGGCGCGAGCCUGAACCAGCCAAGUAGCGUGAGGGAUGACUGCCCUAUGGGUUGUAAACCUCUUUUGCAGGGGGGUAAAGUGGUUCACGUGUGGACCAUUGCAAGUACCCUGCGAAUAAGGAUCGGCUAACUCCGUGCCAGCAGCCGCGGUAAUACGGAGGAUCCGAGCGUUAUCCGGAUUUAUUGGGUUUAAAGGGAGCGUAGGCGGGGGUUUAAGUCAGCUGUGAAAUGCCGUGGCCCAACCAUGGAACUGCAGUUGAAACUGGACCUCUUGAGAGUACAUAAGGAAGGCGGAAUUCGUGGUGUAGCGGUGAAAUGCAUAGAUAUCACGAAGAACUCCGAUUGCGAAGGCAGCUUUCCGGGGUACAUCUGACGCUGAAGCUCGAAAGUGCGGGAAUCAAACAGGAUUAGAAACCCUAGUAGUCC